rnacentral:lncRNA from 1 species
UGGAGGGAGCUGGUGGGGCCUACAGACCAACAGGGGUCCCAGGACAAUGAGGACCCCUGGUCCCCUCCAUAUAGUGAUCAGGAAUUCCCAGCAGCCCUGAAACUGGCUCGUGGGUCCUCACCCUGUUCCCCGAGUUCCAGAACGUACCCACAGCCAGCAGGGGUGUGGUUGGCCAGGGCCGCUCCCCAUCGCCCCUAACAGCUGUUUAUUUCUUGGAGUCUGGUGCACAUGGAAGGGCAGGUCUCCUCCGUCCUUCCACUGGGGCUCAGUCCCGUGGCCAGAGGCUUGGCCAGACAGGGUGGCUCAAGGCCUGAGCGGACGCGAGGCUGAGGUCCAAGGACCGGAGUCCUCCCGACUUGGGCUUUGUGGCGUGGAGACCAGACCCACGUUCCAGAAGUCAUCCCUGAACACGAAGCACGCCUGCCUUCCAGCCAGGACCACGGCAGCUGCAUAUGUUGGCGUGAUUGAUGAGAGCCGCCACAGUCAAGCAAGCAGCCCUGGGCGACCAGUUUACCCUUCCCUGCUAGGGUUUCAGCUGCCAGUUGCCCCCAUUCUGUGACAGCUUCUCCUUCUCCUCACCUUGUCAUCAAGCCAAGAUUGUACACUGUAGGAGUACAGGUAAGCAUCUGCCUCCAUAAUCAUUGCCAACAGCUCUCCAUUAUCAACUGCCAGGGGUGCUUCAAAGCAAUGUGGAGCUCUUUCUCUUGACACAGAGACCCAGUGUUUUUAUAUCCAAAAAAAAAAAAAAAAAAGACACCUCUGCCUUAGCUGACCAGGGAACUUCACAUUUAAGUUUUAUUUAAUUGUGUCACACAUCACUAUAAUAUUAAAAAGCAGGUCAGAUCAUCCCCAAUCUUACCCCCACCCCCUGCAGGUAUUCUCGAUUAAUCUAUGCAGAGACUUGCCACUCUAGAUAUAAUUUCAUUCUGAUUAAUAUAUCCCCAUAUACUCAAAAAAUUAAAGGAAUUUUUCAAAUAUUUU